rnacentral:rRNA from 1 species
AUUGAACGCUGGCGGAAUGCUUUACACAUGCAAGUCGAACGGUAGAGGGGGCAACCCCUUGAGAGUGGCGAACGGGUGAGUAAUAUAUCGGAACGUGCCCAGUCGUGGGGGAUAACGUAGCGAAAGUUACGCUAAUACCGCAUACGAUCUAUGGAUGAAAGCGGGGGAUCGCAAGACCUCGCGCGAUUGGAGCGGCCGAUAUCAGAUUAGGUAGUUGGUGGGGUAAAGGCUCACCAAGCCAACGAUCUGUAGCUGGUCUGAGAGGACGACCAGCCACACUGGAACUGAGACACGGUCCAGACUCCUACGGGAGGCAGCAGUGGGGAAUUUUGGACAAUGGACGCAAGUCUGAUCCAGCCAUUCCGCGUGCAGGAUGAAGGCCCUCGGGUUGUAAACUGCUUUUGUACGGAACGAAAAGGUUUCUAUUAAUACUAGGAGCUCAUGACGGUACCGUAAGAAUAAGCACGGCUAACUACGUG